GGCAGCGAGUGCCUCGCGAAACGUCGUCCUGGCCGUGGGCGGUGAGGACCUCGCACGCCGCCGUCGUUGUUGUGGCCGUGGCCGCGCGCCGCCAUCAUGGCCAUGGCCGCGAGUGCCCCAAGCUCGUGCCACAGCUGCAAGAGCAAGGAUGGCACGACGGGGAGGGCGCCUGGGAGCGCGGCGUCGGCGGUGCUGCGACGGAGGAGAGGAGGUAGGAGGAGGUGACCGGAGGUGAGAUGAGCGCGCCUCUGAGCUCCAACGAGCCGCUCUUGCGCUCAGGCGAGCCGAGCCCCCAGGAAACGGACUUUUUGAGCGUAUCUGUGGAGCCAUGAGAGAGAAGGCAAUUUGCACCACGGCAGCCUAGCUCGCUGGUGGGCUCUAGCUCGCAAACAUGCGCCUUGCAUGCGGG
rnacentral:lncRNA from 1 species